GACGAACGCUGGCGGCGUGCCUAACACAUGCAAGUCGAACGGAAAGGCCCUGCUCUUGUGGGGUGCUCGAGUGGCGAACGGGUGAGUAACACGUGAGUAACCUGCCCUUGACUUUGGGAUAACUUCAGGGAACUGGGGCUAAUACCCGGUAGGAGCUCCUGCAGCAUGGUGGGGGUUGGAAAGUUUCGGCGGUUGGGGAUGGACUCGCGGCUUAUCAGCUUGUUGGUGGGGUAGUGGCUUACCAAGGCUUCGACGGGUAGGCGGCCUGAGAGGGUGACCGGCCACAUGGGGACUGAGAUACGGCCCAGACUCCUACGGGAGGCAGCAGUGGGGAAUAUUGCGCAAUGGGCGGAAGCCUGAUGCAGCAACGCCGCGUGCGGGAUGACGGCCUUCGGGUUGUAAACCGCUUUCGCCUGUGACGAAGCGUGAGUGACGGUAAUGGGUAAAGAAGCACCGGCUAACUACGUG
rnacentral:rRNA from 1 species